rnacentral:rRNA from 1 species
AGAGUUUGAUCCUGGCUCAGGACGAACGCUGGCGGCGUGCCUAACACAUGCAAGUCGAACGGGACUUAUGUUUUUAAUUCUACGGAAAGCGAGAUAUAAGUUUAGUGGCGGACGGGUGAGUAACGCGUGAGCAACCUGCCUUACAGAGGGGGAUAACGUUUGGAAACGAACGCUAAUACCGCAUAAGAUAGUAGUACCGCAUGAUACAGCUAUCAAAGGAGCAAUCCGCUGUAAGAUGGGCUCGCGUCCGAUUAGAUAGUUGGUGAGGUAACGGCCCACCAAGUCUGCGAUCGGUAGCCGGACUGAGAGGUUGAACGGCCACAUUGGGACUGAGACACGGCCCAGACUCCUACGGGAGGCAGCAGUGGGGGAUAUUGCACAAUGGGGGGAACCCUGAUGCAGCAACGCCGCGUGAGGGAAGACGGUUUUCGGAUUGUAAACCUCUGUCUUCGGUGACGAAGCAAGACGGUAGCCGAGGAGGAAGCCACGGCUAACUACGUGCCAGCAGCCGCGGUAAUACGUAGGUGGCAAGCGUUGUCCGGAAUUACUGGGUGUAAAGGGUGCGCAGGCGGGGAUGCAAGUCAGCUGUGAAAACUAUCGGCUUAACUGAUAGACUGCAGUUGAAACUGUAUUUCUUGAGUGAAGUAGGGGUAGGCGGAAUUCCUAGUGUAGCGGUGAAAUGCGUAGAUAUUAGGAGGAACACCAGUGGCGAAGGCGGCCUACUGGGCUUUAACUGACGCUGAGGCACGAAAGUGUGGGGAGCAAACAGGAUUAGAUACCCUGGUAGUCCACACUGUAAACGAUGAUUGCUAGGUGUGGGGGGUCUGACCCCUUCCGUGCCGGAGUAAACACAAUAAGCAAUCCACCUGGGGAGUACGACCGCAAGGUUGAAACUCAAAGGAAUUGACGG